GGAACGGGUUAAUACUAGGUUGAAUGGGAACGGGUUAAUACUAGGUUGAAUGGGAACGGGUUAAUACUAGGUUGAAUGGGAACGGGUUAAUACUAGGUUGAAUGGGAACGCGUUAAUACUAGGUUGAAUGGGAACGCGUUAAUACUAGGUUGAAUGGGAACGCGUUAAUACUAGGUUGAAUGGGAACGCGUUAAUACUAGGUUGAAUGGGAACGCGUUAAUACUAGGUUGAAUGGGAACGCGUUAAUACUAGGUUGAAUGGGAACGCGUUAAUACUAGGUUGAAUGGGAACGCGUUAAUACUAGGUUGAAUGGGAACGCGUUAAUACUAGGUUGAAUGGGAACGCGUUAAUACUAGGUUGAAUGGGAACGCGUUAAUACUAGGUUGAAUGGGAACGCGUUAAUACUAGGUUGAAUGGGAACGCGUUAAUACUAGGUUGAAUGGGAACGGGUUAAUACUAGGUUGAAUGGGAACGGGUUAAUACUAGGUUGAAUGGGAACGGGUUAAUACUAGGUUGAAUGGG